AUUGAACGCUGGCGGCAGGCUUAACACAUGCAAGUCGAGCGGAGAUGAGGUGCUUGCACCUUAUCUUAGCGGCGGACGGGUGAGUAAUGCUUAGGAAUCUGCCUAUUAGUGGGGGACAACAUUCCGAAAGGAAUGCUAAUACCGCAUACGUCCUACGGGAGAAAGCAGGGGAUCUUCGGACCUUGCGCUAAUAGAUGAGCCUAAGUCGGAUUAGCUAGUUGGUGGGGUAAAGGCCUACCAAGACGACGAUCUGUAGCGGGUCUGAGAGGAUGAUCCGACACACUGGGACUUAGACACGGCCCAGACUCCUGCGGGAGGCAGCAGUGGGGAAUAUUGGACAAUGGGGGGAACCCUGAUCCAGCCAUGCCGCGUGUGUGAAGAAGGCCUUAUGGUUGUAAAGCACUUUAAGCGAGGAGGAGGCUACUGAGACUAAUACUCUUGGAUAGUGGACGUUACUCGCAGAAUAAGCACCGGCUAACUCUGUGCCAGCCGCCGCCGUAAGAC
rnacentral:rRNA from 1 species